AGGGAGAAGACUGCAGGGCUCAAAUCCUGU
rnacentral:piRNA from 2 species